GUGGUCGGUGUACAGGUGGUGCAUGGCUGUCGUCAGCUCGUGUCGUGAGAUGUUGGGUUAAGUCCCGCAACGAGCGCAACCUUGUCUUAUGUUGCCAGCACGUAAUGGUGGGGACGUCGUAAGAGACUGCCGGGGUCGAACUCGGAGGAAGGUGGGGACGACGUCAAGUCAUCAUGCCCCUUAUGUCCAGGGCUUCACACAUGCUACAAUGGCCAGUACAGAGGGCUGCGAGACCGUGAGGUGGAGCGAAUCCCUUAAAGCUGGUCUCAGUUCGGAUCGGGGUCUGCAACUCGACCCCGUGAAGUCGGAGUCGCUAGUAAUCGCAGAUCAGCAACGCUGCGGUGAAUACGUUCCCGGGCCUU
rnacentral:rRNA from 1 species